AUGAACGCUGGCGGCGUGCCUAAUACAUGCAAGUCGAGCGAACAGAUAAGGAGCUUGCUCCUCUGACGUUAGCGGCGGACGGGUGAGUAACACGUGGAUAACCUACCUAUAAGACUGGGAUAACUUCGGGAAACCGGAGCUAAUACCGGAUAACAUAUUGAACCGCAUGGUUCAAUAGUGAAAGGCGGCUUUGCUGUCACUUAUAGAUGGAUCCGCGCCGUAUUAGCUAGUUGGUAAGGUAACGGCUUACCAAGGCAACGAUACGUAGCCGACCUGAGAGGGUGAUCGGCCACACUGGAACUGAGACACGGUCCAGACUCCUACGGGAGGCAGCAGUAGGGAAUCUUCCGCAAUGGGCGAAAGCCUGACGGAGCAACGCCGCGUGAGUGAUGAAGGUCUUCGGAUCGUAAAACUCUGUUAUCAGGGAAGAACAAAUGUGUAAGUAACUGUGCACAUCUUGACGGUACCUGAUCAGAAAGCCACGGCUAACUACGUG
rnacentral:rRNA from 1 species